rnacentral:tRNA from 1 species
AGGAGAAAUGGCUGAGUGGUCUAAAGCAAUAGAUUGCUAAUCUAUCGUACAAGUUUUAAUGUACCCAGGGUUCGAAUCCCUGUUUCUCCUGC